rnacentral:rRNA from 1 species
GACAGCAGCAGCCGCGGUAAUACGUAGGUGGCAAGCGUUGUCCGGAAUUAUUGGGCGUAAAGGGCUCGCAGGCGGUUUCUUAAGUCUGAUGUGAAAGCCCCCGGCUCAACCGGGGAGGGUCAUUGGAAACUGGGAAACUUGAGUGCAGAAGAGGAGAGUGGAAUUCCACGUGUAGCGGUGAAAUGCGUAGAGAUGUGGAGGAACACCAGUGGCGAAGGCGACUCUCUGGUCUGUAACUGACGCUGAGGAGCGAAAGCGUGGGGAGCGAACAGGAUUAGAUACCCCAGUAGUCCCUGUCUCUUAUAC